CAGGUCGUAGACCCGAAACCAGGUGAUCUACCCAUGUCCAGGAUGAAGGUAAGGUAAUACUUACUGGAGGUCCGAACCCACGCACGUUGAAAAGUGCGGGGAUGAGGUGUGGGUAGCGGAGAAAUUCCAAUCGAACUUGGAGAUAGCUGGUUCUCUCCGAAAUAGCUUUAGGGCUAGCCUCGAGGUAAAGAGUCAUGGAGGUAGAGCACUGUUUGGACUAGGGGCCCUUCUCGGGUUACCGAAUUCAGAUAAACUCCGAAUGCCAUGUACUUAUACUCGGGAGUCAGACUGCGAGUGAUAAGAUCCGUAGUCGAAAGGGAAACAGCCCAGACCACCAGUUAAGGUCCCCAAAUAUAUGUUAAGUGGAAAAGGAUGUGGGGUUGCUUAGACAACCAGGAUGUUGGCUUAGAAGCAGCCACCAUUGAAAGAGUGCGUAAUAGCUCACUGGUCGAGUGACCCCGCGCCGAAAAUGUACCGGGGCUAAACAUAUUACCGAAACUGUGGAUGAACCUCUUUAGAGGUUCGUGGUAGGAGAGCGUUCUAAGGGCGGUGAAGUCAGACCGGAAGGACUGGUGGAGCGCUUAGAAGUGAGAAUGCCGGUAUGAGUAGCGAAAGAAGGGUGAGAAUCCCUUCCACCGAAUAUCUAAGGUUUCCUGAGGAAGGCUCGUCCGCUCAGGGUUAGUCGGGACCUAAGCCGAGGCCGAUAGGCGUAGGCGAUGGACAACAGGUAGAGAUUCCUGUACCAGUGCUAAUUGUUUAACCGAUGGGGUGACACAGAAGGAUAGGGAAUCGCACGAAUGGAAAUGUGCGUCCAAGCAGUGAGUGUGAGAAGUAGGCAAAUCCGCUUCUCGCGAAGCAUGAGCUGUGAUGGGGAAGGAAAUUAAGUACGGAAGUUCCUGAUUUCACGCUGUCAAGAAAAGCCUCUAGGAAGAGUAGUACUGCCCGUACCGCAAACCGACACAGGUAGAUGAGGAGAGAAUCCUAAGGUGAGCGAGAGAACUCUCGUUAAGGAACUCGGCAAAAUGACCCCGUAACUUCGGGAGAAGGGGUGCUCUAUUAGGGUGCAAGCCCGAGAGAGCCGCAGUGAAUAGGCCCAGGCGACUGUUUAGCAAAAACACAGGUCUCUGCAAAACCGUAAGGUGACGUAUAGGGGCUGACGCCUGCCCGGUGCUGGAAGGUUAAGAGGAGUGCUUAGCUUCGGCGAAGGUACGAAUUGAAGCCCCAGUAAACGGCGGCCGUAACUAUAACGGUCCUAAGGUAGCGAAAUUCCUUGUCGGGUAAGUUCCGACCCGCACGAAAGGCGCAACGAUCUGGGCACUGUCUCAACGAGAGACUCGGUGAAAUUAUAGUACCUGUGAAGAUGCAGGUUACCCGCGACAGGACGGAAAGACCCCGUGGAGCUUUACUGCAACCUGAUAUGGAAUGUUUGUACCGCUUGUACAGGAUAGGUAGGAGCCGAAGAGACGUGUGCGCUAGCAUACGAGGAGGCAAUGGUGGGAUACUACCCUGGCUGUAUGACCAUUCUAACCCGCCACGCUUAGCGCGUGGGGAGACAGUGUCAGGUGGGCAGUUUGACUGGGGCGGUCGCCUCCUAAAGAGUAACGGAGGCGCCCAAAGGUUCCCUCAGAAUGGAUGGAAAUCAUUCGCAGAGUGUAAAGGCACAAGGGAGCUUGACUGCGAGACUGACAAGUCGAGCAGGGACGAAAGUCGGGCUUAGUGAUCCGGUGGUUCCGCAUGGAAGGGCCAUCGCUCAACGGAUAAAAGCUACCCCGGGGAUAACAGGCUUAUCUCCCCCAAGAGUCCACAUCGACGGGGAGGUUUGGCACCUCGAUGUCGGCUCGUCGCAUCCUGGGGCUGUAGUCGGUCCCAAGGGUUGGGCUGUUCGCCCAUUAAAGCGGCACGCGAGCUGGGUUCAGAACGUCGUGAGACAGUUCGGUCCCUAUCCGUCGCGGGCGCAGGAAAUUUGAGAGGAGCUGUCCUUAGUACGAGAGGACCGGGAUGGACACACCGCUGGUGUACCAGUUGUUCCGCCAGGAGCAUCGCUGGGUAGCUAUGUGUGGCAGGGAUAAACGCUGAAAGCAUCUAAGCGUGAAGCCCCCCUCAAGAUGAGAUUUCCCAUUUCUUCGGAAAGUAAGAUCCCUGAAAGAUGAUCAGGUAGAUAGGUUUGGAGUGGAAGUGUAGCGAUACAUGGAGCGGACAAAUACUAAUCGAUCGAGGACUUAACCAAAA
rnacentral:rRNA from 1 species